GCCUCGGUGGUGAAGUGGUAAGGCAUGCACCUUCGGCAUGGAUGAAACGCGGGUUCGAUUCCCGCCUCAGGUC